rnacentral:rRNA from 1 species
CCUACGGGUGGCAGCAGUGGGGAAUAUUGGGCAAUGGACGAAACUCUGACCCAGCAACGCCGCGUGAAUGAUGAAGGCCUUCGGAUUGUAAAGUUCUUUUUUAAGGGAAGAAGAAAGUGACGGUACCUUAGGAAUAAGCAUCGGCUAACGAAGUGCCAGCAGCCGCGGUAAUACGAAGGAGGCAAGCGUUAUCCGGAUUGACUGGGCGUAAGGGGUGAGUAGGUGGUUUGAUAAGUUGGUGGCGUAACUCAGCGGCUCAACCUCGGCACUAAUUCCAAAACUGUCAGACUUGAGUGCAGGAGAGGCAACUGGAAUGCCUGGUGUAGCGGUGGAAUGCGUAGAUAUUAGGAAGAACACCAGUGGCGAAGGCGGGUUGCUGGACUGUAACUGACACUGAGGCACGAAAGCGUGGGGAGCAAACAGGAUUAGAUACCCUAGUAGUC